UCUAUAUACAAAGCUUCCAGAACAGCUCAGGAGCAGAUGAAAGUGUAAAAACCUGGUGACUGUUCUCACAUGUAGUGCCAGCUGCUACUGCUGGAAGCACGUUCAUGUCUCUGCCAGACACCACCUGAAACCCAGCAACCACUCACACCUGUACUUCACUCCCCCACUGUUCUUUCACUUAUCCUACAAGCUAUUGUUGAGCGCCUACACAAAGCCAGGAGCCAACGAAACAAAAGCAAAUAAAACACAGGGUUUGUCUUGUGAAAAUUUCAGUCUGGAAGAGGAGAUUGGACAUUCCCUGAAGACACAGGAAUUUUGGAAGGACACAGUGUCGUUGCCAUUGGAGGCCAGUAGAUAAAGGGGUUUGGGAGUUCCAGGGAGAAAGGAUUCGAGUUGAAGCCCUAACCUUCGAUGUGUUGGUGUUAGGAGGUGGAGCCUUCGGGAGGUAAUUAGGUUUAGAUGAGGUCAGGAGGGUAGGGCCUCCGUGAUGGGAUGGGUGCUCUUAUAAGAGGAAGCAACACCAGAGCAUCCUGUCUCAGUCAUGAGAGGACGCGGUGAGAGGGAAGUCACUUGCAAGUCAGAAACAGGGUCCUCACUGAGAACCAGGUCUGCUCGUGCCUUAUCUCAGACUUCCAGUCUCCAGAACUGUGAGAAAGAAAUGUCUGUUGUUUAAGCCACCCCGUCUGUAGAGUUUGUUUGGCAGCCCAAGCUGAUGGAUACAGGAGGCUCUAAGAGGCAACAAAUGAGAACCUGGAUGAAGAGGCAUGUCAAAGAGAAUCAAGCAAACCCAGCAGACAACCCUGCAUGCUUGAUGAGGUUUUGAGGAAGGAAAAGUUGUUCUCCGGGCAAAGGAAUGCAGAGAAAGGAAAAUUCAUCCUCCUUCGUUGGACUGAAUGGAAAAGGGGAAAGACAAUUGCUCCAGGUUCAAGGAGUGUCCAAGGCCUCAUUGCUGACUGUUCUGCAGAGUGAAGGUGGAGCUCUCCAACAGGACCAAAUAAUGACAUGAAUAAAUAUGUAACUGCAAACAGGAGAAGGUGUUAAAAAGGCGAAAUGCACAGUGCUCUAAGAGCUAAGGACAAGCCCCCUGGCCUGGUGGGGGGUGGCUUUCCUGGAGAAUGAAGCCUGAGCUAAGCUUUGAGGAUGUAGGAAGGGAGCAUUCCAGGCAGAGGGAACUCUCCAUGCUCUGGCAAGAGGAUGCUUUCUGAAAAGGCCUAGGUGGAAUGGUGCCGGUUGAAAGGCCAGACAAGGACCAGGUCAAAGUCUGGAGGACUUGGGAUGCUUUUUGUCUUCAUCCUAAGAGAUUGGGAUCAAAAAAGCAGAUGAUGUGAUCAGAGGUGCAUUUUGGAAAGAUUAAUUUGGCUGCUGAGUGGAGAAUUAAUCAGAGAAGAAAUGGAGAGUUAGUGUUCAGUCAAAGUUAGUUAGUCCAUCUCUCUAAAAUGGCUACAAUUUAACAAACAAACAAAAACCCCAGAAAAUAACAUGUGAUGACAAUGAUACAGAGAAAUUGGAACCUUUGUACAUCGCUGAUUGAAAUGCAAAAUGGUAUAACCAACCCAUGUGGAAAAUAGAUAGGCAGUUCCUCAGUGACUUAAACAUAGAGUGACCAUUUAACCUGACAAUUCCACUCCUAGGUAUAUACCCCAGAGAACUGAAGACAGGGACUCAAACAAAACUUUGUAUAUGAAUGUUCAUAGCAGCAUAGAGCAAAAGGUGGAAGUAACCCAAAUGUACCUCAGCUGAUGAAUGGAUAGACAAAAUGUGGUACACCUGUAAGUGGAAUGGUGAAAGUAAAGUCGCUCAGUCGUCUCCGACUCUGCGACCCGGUGGACUGCAGCCCACCAGGCUCCUCCAUCUAUGGGAUUUUCCAGGCAAGAAUACUGGAGUGGGUUGCCAUUUCCUUCUCCAAGAGAUCUUCCCAACCCAGGAACUGGAGCCCAUCAAACCUGUGGAAAUUAUAGGCUUGUGGACCAAGUUCUGGCGAAGGCUCAACUUGUAGCAGCCCCCACCCACCCCACCCUGUCACUGUGUCACUCUGAGGGAGUACGUGGAGUGAGCCAGGGAGGCCUGCGGCUUGGAAAUUAAAGCUGAGGAGGCAGAAUCUGGCUUUUCCCCGAAGGCCCUUGGAGCUGACCUCGAGGGUAACUGGGGACUCAGCCAUGAUUCUCUCACAGAAGUCCUCAACAGGGGAAGGGAUGGAUGAGUGGUGACAAGAAUCAAUCAACUUGAUGUGUUUCAAAACUAUUUUAAUUUUUUUUUUUUCUUUUUGCUGUGCUACAGCAUGUGAGAUCCUACUUCCCCAACUAGGAAUGGAACCAUGCCCCCUGCAGUGGAAGCUCAGAGUCCUAACCACUGCACAGGGAAGUCCCCAAGAAUCAGUCAAUCUUGUCAGUCUCACUACCUCCCAAACCCCAACUCAUCCUCCUCAAGUGAGAGGAUCUUCUAGAAACAGGUCUUCAUGAGUUAUGUUCACAGUGCUAGUCAUAGCUAUCCUCCCACGAGGAUGCUACCAGCAGAGUCCACUCCUCUCUAAGUAGCCUCGACGAUCACUCAGACUUCUUUUCAUCAUUCAUCCAUUCAAGGAGCCCCUCAGGCAAUGAUUACUAAGAAGCCCCCAAAUGAACACUAUUUCUAAAUCUAAGAUCUAAAAGGCUAUUCAUUUUAAGGUAUAAUAAAAGCAGCUCUCUGCAUUUUAGUCUUAGAAAAAUCUUCCUAGAUAAGAAAAAACAUUCUGAGGAGUUUCCAGUGUCCUUCAAAUUGAUGCCUUGAGAACCCCGUGACUUCAAUGUCGACGACUGGAUUAAAUAGCACGCCAGCUCUGUAGCUUCCAGGGGUGGACAGGGAGUGGGGCGGGACCUAUAAAAAAAUGCUAAAACAUCACUGGCGUAAAUAAGUGGAAACGUUAAUUGGUCUCAUUCCUGCUCUAAAAGACAGUUCUUGAUGUGGACUUUUUUUUAACCCCUCUUUUCUUAAAUAGGCCUAACUUUGUGCAGUACACGUGUUUGGUCAGAGUCAACAAAACAUUAGUAAUCACAGCAAAGAGAAUAUUUUUAAAGUUCUACUUCUGCCUGUGCCUGGGAACAUUCUCAUACAAAUGUUUCUUCUCCCUUUAAAAACAUAAUUUAAGAGAAAAAGAAAAGAUGUUCAAAUAGUGAUUAUAUUUUGGCACCAAGUGUGUCACAAAUCAACAUAUAACUUUGUAUAAUUCCCCAGCAGAACCUAGCCAAAAGAAAGCCCUCCCCAGCUGAACUCAGCUUCUAGGGAAGAAUAGUCCUGUUUACAAACAUGGAAGAGAUGGGCAGUAGGAACCUGGUUCUGGUUUAGGGGGCAAGAUUGGAAGGGCAGGCAUGGAAGGGGUCCUUGUUGGACCCCGGAACUUCUCAUAUGUAUCAUCAGCACAUGGCCUCAUGAGCAGCUCUGUCCUUGGGCUUUCCUAGACACAGGAAGGGGAGAGCCGAGUUCUACACUCUGAUCCAGAAGGAGCAGUGACUUUGGGUAAGAGAUUUCCACCUAGAAAAUAGGUCCCGAUCUCAGGGUGUCCCUUGUCCCGAAGUCAGGAGAAAGAGGAGUGGAAGGCAGACAGCCGAUGUUGCUUCUUGCUUUUCCUUUAUGCCUACAUGAGAGAAUAAGUAGUUUUCUUCCUAAGUGCCUGGUGGUAAAAAGUGAUAAAUUUCUUUGAACCAUGCAGAUGGGAUAGAACUAAAGCAUGCCAAAAAUAAUUGAAGUUAGCUUCACCAUAGCUGAAAUUUUGACACUAAAUAAUGCACAGUGUGAACCUGUUUAUGAGGACUGGGUAAUUUGUUAAAUAGUCUUCAUUUUGCACCCUUUAAUCUGCCUCCCCAAAAUUUGUCUGAUUCAGAAAAAUCACAAAAGAGAGUUAACAAGAAAAUGAGUACAUGGAACAAUAAGAGAUACUCCCCUGAAUUUUUUUCUUAGAACAUUAAUUUUGCUUUGCCAGCAGAAGUGGACCCCUCUGGAUGGUUAAUCCAUUUCUAUGCAUUUGUAUUUCUAGAAAAUUGGUUCCUUCUCAUCCUCACUCAAUCAAAUCUAAAGGGGAAAGUUUGACAGUAUACUUGAGAUAAUGUGGGCAAACUUUACCAUGUAGUGCUCCUAGGAAUGGAAGUGAAGAAAAUCUCUUAAGGGGGAGGGCACUUC
ensembl:lncRNA